rnacentral:rRNA from 1 species
GGAGGGGGCAAGCGUUGUUCGGAAUUACUGGGCGUAAAGGGCGCGUAGGCGGAAGAUCAAGUCAGGGGUGAAAGGCCUGGGCUCAACCCGGGAACUGCCUUUGAAACUGGUUUUCUAGAGUACGGGAGAGGAUGGCGGAAUUCCCAGUGUAGAGGUGAAAUUCGUAGAUAUUGGGGAGAACACCGGUGGCGAAGGCGGCCAUCUGGCCCGGUACUGACGCUAAGGCGCGAAAGCGUGGGGAGCAAACAGGAUUAGAUACCCUGGUAGUCCACGCCGUAAACGAUGUGUGCUAGCCGUUGGGGCUUCAGGUCUCGGUGGCGCAGCUAACGCGUUAAGCACACCGCCUGGGGAGUACGGCCGCAAGGUUA